rnacentral:rRNA from 1 species
GUGAAGARGAGCUUGCUCCUUGGAUCAGUGGCGAACGGGUGAGUAACACGUGAGCAAUCUGCCCUUGACUCUGGGAUAACUGCGGGAAACUGUAGCUAAUACCGGAUAUUACCUUGGAAGGCAUCUUCUGGGGUGGAAAGAAUUUUGGUCAAGGAUGAGCUCGCGGCCUAUCAGCUAGUUGGUGAGGUAAUGGCUCACCAAGGCGACGACGGGUAGCCGGCCUGAGAGGGUGACCGGCCACACUGGGACUGAGACACGGCCCAGACUCCUACGGGAGGCAGCAGUGGGGAAUAUUGCACAAUGGGCGCAAGCCUGAUGCAGCAACGCCGCGUGAGGGACGAAGGCCUUCGGGUUGUAAACCUCUUUUAGUAGGGAAGAAGCGACUGGGUUUUCCUGGGAGUGACGGUACCUGCAGAAAAAGCACCGGCUAACUACGUGCCAGCAGCCGCGGUAAUACGUAGGGUGCAAGCGUUGUCCGGAAUUAUUGGGCGUAAAGAGCUCGUAGGCGGUUUGUCGCGUCUGCUGUGAAAACCCGAGGCUCAACCUCGGGCCUGCAGUGGGUACGGGCAGACUAGAGUGCGGUAGGGGAGAUUGGAAUUCCUGGUGUAGCGGUGGAAUGCGCAGAUAUCAGGAGGAACACCAAUGGCGAAGGCAGAUCUCUGGGCCGUAACUGACGCUGAGGAGCGAAAGCAUGGGGAGCGAACAGGAUUAGAUACCCUGGUAGUCCAUGCCGUAAACGUUGGGAACUAGAUGUGGGGACCAUUCCACGGUCUCCGUGUCGCAGCUAACGCAUUAAGUUCCCCGCCUGGGGAGUACGGCCGCAAGGCUAAAACUCAAAGGAAUUGACGGGGGCCCGCACAAGCGGCGGAGCAUGCGGAUUAAUUCGAUGCAACGCGAAGAACCUUACCAAGGCUUGACAUAUACCGGAAACGGCCAGAAAUGGUCGCCCCGCAAGGUCGGUAUACAGGUGGUGCAUGGUUGUCKUCAGCUCGUGUCGUGAGAUGUUGGGUUAAGUCCCGCAACSAGCGCMMCCCUCSYCCUAUGUUGCCAGCACGUAAUGGUGGGGAACUCRUGGGAUACUGCCCGGGGUCAACUCGGAAGGAAGGUGGGGAUGACKUCAAAUCAUCRUGCCCCUUANGUCUUGGGYUUC